CAGUCGAGCGAGACCUUCGGGUCUAGCGGCGGACGGGUGAGUAACGCGUGGGAACGUGCCCUUUGCUACGGAAUAGUCCCGGGAAACUGGGUUUAAUACCGUAUGUGCCCUUCGGGGGAAAGAUUUAUCGGCAAAGGAUCGGCCCGCGUUGGAUUAGGUAGUUGGUGGGGUAAUGGCCUACCAAGCCGACGAUCCAUAGCUGGUUUGAGAGGAUGAUCAGCCACACUGGGACUGAGACACGGCCCAGACUCCUACGGGAGGCAGCAGUGGGGAAUCUUAGACAAUGGGGGCAACCCUGAUCUAGCCAUGCCGCGUGAGUGAUGAAGGCCUUAGGGUUGUAAAGCUCUUUCAGCUGGGAAGAUAAUGACGGUACCAGCAGAAGAAGCCCCGGCUAACUCCGUGCCAGCAGCCGCGGUAAUACGGAGGGGGCUAGCGUUGUUCGGAAUUACUGGGCGUAAAGCGCACGUAGGCGGACUGGAAAGUUGGGGGUGAAAUCCCGG
rnacentral:rRNA from 1 species